rnacentral:misc_RNA from 1 species
AGCUGUCAUAGGAUGAUCCCUAGAAUGGGGUGGUGGGAGCCGAUCUGCGUCUAAUUCUUGAUAACAAGCCUCACAUAAGUCAAAAUCAGGACAGACGGUACAAUGCCAUCUUCGCCUGAGUAUGGAACGGUGGAGCAUCCAUCACAACAAUAUUGAACAGAUGAUGUAAUAGAAUCUUCUUCAAUCAUGACUUGUGUGUUUCCACUAGUUGCCUCGGCAGAACCAGAAGCUGAAACAGCACUAUCCACAGCAUCAUCUGUUGCUAACAUUGUUUGCUUCGGGAAUGGAACCUGGAGUAAU